AUGGACAUUGCACUCAUCCCCAGUGCCAACUGGUACAAACAGGUUCCAGGAUGUAUACAAUUACAAUUUCCAGCACAUGUACUAAGGUUUUACCAUUCCUGGAGAUCUCCAUAUGUACAGUUACUUACCAUCUUGGCUAAAGGAACAAAGCUCAUCGUCACUGACUCUGUCCUCCCAGCUCCUGUUCUGACUCUCUUCCCUCCAUCCAGUGAGGAGCUGAAGUCAGAAAAGGUCACUCUGGUUUGUGUGGCUAAUGACCUCUCUGUGGGUUUUGCUGAUGUCAGUUGGACAGUGAGUGGGAAAUCAGUCACUGAUGGAGUUUUCACCAGUUCUGUUGAAAAACAGAGCAACCAGAAUUUUAUAUCCUGGCUUUUCAGUAGAGAACCAGAAAAGUUCAAAGUGAGCAGUUUUUUGAGUCUUCCAACCUCUGAGUGGGAGAGUGACAAAGAGGUUUCAUGUCAAAUGUCAGUUGGAUCAAAAUCCUCUGAGAAAAAAAUAAAGAAGUCUGACUGCAGUAACUGACAUCAGUGACAUGAAG